rnacentral:rRNA from 1 species
AAUAGAUACCCCGGUAGUCCACGCCGUAAACGUUGGAUACUAGGUGUGGCGGUCUUACCAACGACUGCCGUGCCGAAGCUAACGCAUUAAGUAUCCCGCCUGGGGAGUACGGCCGCAAGGCUAAAACUCAAAGGAAUUGACGGGUCCCCGCACAAGCGGCGGAGCAUGCGGCUUAAUUCGAUGCAACCCGAAGAACCUUACCUGGGUUUGACAUCACGGGAAAAGCUGUAGAAAUACAGUGUCCGUAAGGGCCCGUGACAGGUGGUGCAUGGCUGUCGUCAGCUCGUGUCGUGAGAUGUUGGGUUAAGUCCCGCAACGAGCGCAACCCUUGUCCUAUGUUGCCAGCGGUUCGGCCGGGGACUCAUAGGAGACUGCCGGGGAUAACUCGGAGGAAGGUGAGGACGACGUCAAGUCAUCAUGCCCCUUAUAUCCAGGGCUGCACGCAUGCUACAAUGGCCGGUACAACGGGCAGCGACCCCGCGAGGGUGAGCGAAUCCUAAAAAGCCGGUCCUAGUUCGGAUUGAAGUCUGCAACUCGACUUCA